AGCUCCAAUAGCGUAUAUUAAAGUUGUUGCGGUUAAAAGCUCGUAGUUGGAUUUCUGUCGAGGGUGGUCGGUCCGCACUAUGUGCGUGUAUCUGGCUCGGCCUUGGCAUCCUCUUGGGGAACGUGUCUGUGCUUGAUUGCAUGGCCUGGGAUUCAAGACUUUUACUUUGAGGAAAUUGGAGUGUUUACGGCAAGCGCACGCUCUGAACAUAGUAGCAUGGAAUAAUAAUAUAGGGCCUGGGCUCUAUUUUGUUGGUUUCUAGCGCUUAGGCAAUGAUUAAUAGGGAUAAUUGGGGGCAUUUGUAUUGACGCGUCAGAGGUGGAAUUCUUGGAUUGCGUUACGACAAGCUACUGCGAAAGCAUUUGCCAAGGAUGUUUUCA
rnacentral:rRNA from 1 species